GAGUUUGAUCAUGGCUCAGAGUGAACGCUGGCGGCAGGCCUAACACAUGCAAGUCGAGCGGUAGCGCGGGGGCAACCCUGGCGGCGAGCGGCGGACGGGUGAGGAAUGCAUCGGAAUCUACCUCGUUGUGGGGGAUAACCUCGGGAAACCGGGACUAAUACCGCAUACGCACUACGGUGGAAAGCCGGGGACCGCAAGGCCUGGCGCUAAUAGAUGAGCCCAAAUCGGAUUAGCUAGUUGGUGAGGUAAUGGCUCACCAAGGCGACGAUCCGUAGCUGGUUUGAGAGAACGACCAGCCACACCGGAACUGAGACACGGUCCGGACUCCUACGGGAGGCAGCAGUGGGGAAUAUUGGACAAUGGGGGCAACCCUGAUCCAGCGACGCCGCGUGGGUGAAGAAGGCCUGCGGGUUGUAAAGCCCUUUCGGUUGGGAAGAACAGUAUCGACCUAACACGUCGGUACCUUGACGUAACCAACAAAAGAAGCACCGGCUAACUCUGUGCCAGCCGCCGCGGUAAC
rnacentral:rRNA from 2 species